GGCAGAUGCACAUGGUUAUUUGCACCAUUAUUUUCAAAAGUCAAACUGGAGCACCAUCUGAAUAUUCAUCAAAUUCAGGACUGAUGAGGCAGAGCAACACAAUGGAUUAUUAUGCAGAUAUACAAGAGAAUGCGGAAGCUCUGUAAAGUAGGGUGUGAACUCCAGGACACAGGGUGAAGUGAAGAAAGCAAGGUGCAGAAAUUGCACACAGUAUGCCAUCUUUUGUACUGGGGAAAGGAAUACAAAGCAGCGGGGAAAGGAAUGUGUAUGCAUGUAUAUGUAAAUACAGUCAUUAAAACUGAAAACAAAGUGGCACAAAUAAACCUAAUUCCCUAUCGAGUUGGCAUUGCUGCCUUAACCACACAGAGGAAAGUAACUGACUUCAGAGCACAGUAUCUUCACUGUAUUUCUUCAGUAUGAUAUAAUCCAAAGACACAAAUACUGCAUAGACAUCUCAAUGUCACUUGAAGUGAAAUAACAUAAAAAUGGGAACAGACUCCUGCUGCUGCUCCAGAAAGAUGAACAUGAGAAAGGGACCAUUAUCUCUAAUGUUUUCUCAUGUAGAAAAUGCAGGGAAUAGCUUAAAUCGAAGUUCAACUUUGGGAGCUGAUAAUUGAGUGAAAGUCUUCUUCCUUGAUUGCCCUGGGAAGAAAUCUUCAUUUUUGGUUUGCAAGACCAUGAAAAUGAGACAAUAAAUACAACAAAUGAAAUACUUUACACUCAAAAACUAUUUUUAAAAAAACAGACAAAAUAUAGAAAAUAAGUAUAAGUAACAUAUUCAAAGAGACAUUAAACGACAUUUUAUUAAUUUUAAAAGCUAUAGAUUAUAGAAAUAAAAAUUUUCCGUAUGAAAUUUCCCUCCUAAGGGUCGGCCCAAGUCCAGGACCUGUCUGGGAAUUGUGGACAUAUCGGUAGGACACGGGCAAGGAUUGCCAUCUCGCUCAGCACCUGUUUCCUUGAACGAUGAGAAUAACCCAUCUCUCCUGUUUUAAGUGUGAUUUGUCAUAUACAUCAAUAGGCAUCUUGGCUCAACAUACGAAAGCCCCUUUCCACAGAGACAGCUGCCUCCAGCCUGAAGAAGUUGCCACAGGAGGUAGAAGGAGGUCCCUUGCCCAUGCCUGGGAGACCCAGCCAGAGUGGACAGGGAGGCGGCCCGGGCCGGGGUGCCAGACUCAGCAAAUAAACACAGCAUGCCCAGGUAACUCUGAAUUUCAGAUAACCAACGAAUAACUUUGUGUGAUACUAUAUUUGUACUCAAAAGUAACUCGUUUAUCUGAAAUUCAAAGUUGACGGCGCAUGUGGUACUGUAUUGAAUCUGGCAACGCUCCACCUUGGUUUUCCUACCCGGGUUUGUGGAAGGGGCUCCCCCUGCCCCGCAGGUGCCGCCCCGAGGAGGUGGAGGAGGAGGAGCCGGGCACUGACUGGGGACCCAGGUGAGUCUAGCAAAUGACAAGGCCCAACGGUCAAAACCGCCUCAGUAAUGCGCUCGUCCAAAGCACGCACUUAACGCUCAAUCCUGGUGUCGCGUCCCGUUGCCAGGCAACGAAAGCAAGCGCUGCAAAGACGAAGGGGAGCGCCCAAGGAUGAGGAACGUUCCAAGACACUGAGUGAUUUGCUGAAAAUCACACAUCUAGUAAGUGGCAGAAUCAGAUAAGGAAACUGCAGCAUAGACAGAUUAAGAUGCAAAGCCAGAAUGCGAGCAGUGACCACCACACUUGACAAAUCCGUUGUUGCACACAUUUGUACUCUUCAAUCAACAAAACCUGAUGCAAAAAACAGAAAAGGGGGAGAUGUACAUGCAUUUUCCCUCACUGCAAAAAAAACACAACUUGUUUAACUACAGGUGUGUUCCUGGUGGUCUUUGAAUGAAGACAUUGACAGAAAGUAACAUAGCAUGCUGGUUAAAGACUGUUUUUAUUCGAAUCCUGGCUUUGCCAAUCAACAGCUGCAUAAAUUAAACUCUCGACCUCAGCUCCCUUAUUUGUAAAACAAGAAUAACAAAAAGACAUUUUUAUAAGGUUGGGUUGAAGGUUAAAUGAAAUAACAGAAGAUUAUCUCUUCACUAAUUUUAGCUGUAGAAAACAGAAGCCAAUCGAAAGAGCUCCCAGUCCAAAGCUGGAACAACUUGAACAACAAAAUAAAUAAUGUAGCAUUGGAUUACAAACCAACCAUAAAACAAAUAUCCAUGAGUCUAUACUGAUGUCAAUAAAUGAAUAAAUGUGGGAAAAU
rnacentral:lncRNA from 1 species